AGGGGCAAAAUUGUAAUUUUAUCAAAAUCCUAAUUUGAUAGUAUCAAAUGAUAGAACAAAAGAUUUGUGAUCCAAUGGUAAAAAUUUUAUUGAUUUUGGAUUUGUAUUUUGAAAGAUAUGCAUGAUUGAAAAUCAUGAGUCGACCCAUGAGUCGACUCAUGGCACAUGAGAUGACUGGCACGCUGAAUUUUCUGACCGGC
rnacentral:lncRNA from 1 species